rnacentral:misc_RNA from 1 species
GAUGAAGAACGCAGCAAAAUGCGAUAAGUAAUGUGAAUUGCAGAAUUCAGUGAAUCAUCGAAUCUUUGAACGCACAUUGCGCCCCUUGGUAUUCCGAGGGGCAUGCCCGUUCGAGCGUCAUUAUACCCCUCAAGCCUAGCUUGGUGUUGGGGCCUGCUGUUACCGGCAGCCCUUAAAAUCAGUGGCGGUGCCAUCUGGCUCUAAGCGUAGUAAUACUUCUCGCUACAGGGUCCCGGUGGAUGCUUGCCAUCAACCCCUAAUUUUCUAUGGUUGACCUCGGAUCGGGUAGGGAUACCCGCUGAACUUAAGCAUAUCAAUAAGCGGAGGA